ACCUUGUCCUUUCUCAUUUUCUCCAAACCCUAAUUUGCUAGAACAAUUCGUGAAACCCUUUGCUCUUCCUCUUCUCCUUUUCCAUUUCACGAUAAGAAUCGAUAUCUUUGCAUCCUCUCUGCUACCAUUGGCUUCCCCGCUAGAAUCGUAAUCGCCGACGAAAUCCUCUGCCGUUGUGGGAGAUUUCGCUUAUACUUGGAUCUCGACAAACCUUGAGUGCCUCAAAGCAGAUCGGAGAUUUAUUCAGCGCGGAUAAGUGGAAAGAGAAAGAAGAAGGAGAUGAUGAUCCAUGAGGAAUAAGAAAUUGAAGAGAGGGAGACGGAGAGGAAGAAUGAUCAGAGAUAUUUACAAGAUAAGUGAGUGUCGAGGGAGUUGGAUUUAACGCCAUUGUUGUUGUUGCUGGAAGGAACCUUUGGUCAUGGAGAGAUUCUUCGUCUUUAUCCACCUCAGCCAGUUCAUACUAUUCUAUUGCCCCUAGAUCAGUCUGUAUAUAUAUUUGCCUAAUAUGCUUUCUCUUGAAACUCUUGGAUUUGUCUAGGUUACAUGUAUCACAAAGAGGUAAGAACUGAUACGGUUUUAUUGAAACACUGAAUUUGUUGCCUCCGUUUCCAGUUUGGAAGGUACAUCAUCUAAUGUUUUCCAAUGCGUUGAUACCAUGGAAGGGCCUUAAGAAAAAGAAAGUCGUCUAAAAAUAAACAUAUGGUUUGCUCGAGCAUGUUUUAAACUUCAAUCAUAACUGAAAUACGUGUUUACAAUCUGUUUUUAUAAACUGUUCAAUCGACAUGAAGACACUACUAUUUCUCUCUUUAGUUUCGUUGCAGUGUUUUUUUUUUUAAAUUAGUAUAUUGUUUCUUGGACCAUGUUUGCAUCUUCAGCUAUUCAUAAAUGAGAACUGUUUAGUUUACAGUCUUAUUUGAUAGCUACUUUGCGUUUCUUGAUAUGGAUGCAGUUAAUAGAGAUGUGAGCCCAUCACAUGGAAACAUUGUGGAUGGAAGCGGGAGAUUUGUCUCCAACAGAACAGUAAUAGAUUUAAGGGAAAAGCUGAUUACGUUUAUGGAACUCAAUCUACCCGAUGGAAAGAGAGUUCUCCAAACUUGCACAAUCAGACUGGCGAUGGACCGUUCACCCCGAGGAGGAGGAGGAGGCGAAGAGAGAAGGCAUAUGGAAUUUAAUUAUUCAUGUGAGAAUAAAUAUAAUUUAUCGACCAGGUCUUUUUGGUCAAUUGUUUGGUGAACUCCUCACGAACCUUGACUACGGUUAUAUUUGGUGCCACCAGCAUAAUCCAGCGAGCAUGUUGUUGCGGAGAAGCAAACCAAGGGCUGUGGCACAACAACCCCACCUGGAAUCAAAAACGUGGAAAAAACACGUAAGCACCCCCGUGAGUGAUAAGAUCGUUUUCCUUCGAUCAGUCCGUCAACACCACUUUAUUCUCCCAUUAUUUAAAUUAAUUUUGUCUCUUUCAUUACGUCCAAGCUUUGUUUUGGUUUUAAAUUUCCUCAAACUAUUUAACAUUUUGUUUUUCAGUAUUCAGUGAAGCUUUGACGGGAUUAUCA